GACGAACGCUGGCGGCGUGCUUAACACAUGCAAGUCGAGCGGUAAGGCCCUUUCGGGGGUACGACGAGCGGCGAACGGGUGAGUAACACGUGGGUGACCUGCCCUCAGCUCUGGGAUAAGCCUGGGAAACCGGGUCUAAUACUGGAUAUGACUCCAUGACGCAUGUUGUGGGGUGGAAAGCCUUGUGCGGCUGAGGAUGGGCCCGCGGCCUAUCAGCUUGUUGGCGGGGUGAUGGCCUACCAAGGCGACGACGGGUAGCCGGCCUGAGAGGGCGACCGGCCACACUGGGACUGAGACACGGCCCAGACUCCUACGGGAGGCAGCAGUGGGGAAUCUUGCGCAAUGGGCGAAAGCCUGACGCAGCGACGCCGCGUGAGGGAUGACGGCCUGGUGUAACU
rnacentral:rRNA from 1 species